rnacentral:hammerhead_ribozyme from 1 species
GGUCUGCUGACGAGUCUCAAACAGGACGAAAUGGCUGUCCAGUGC